rnacentral:rRNA from 1 species
AGAGUUUGAUCCUGGCUCAGAGUGAACGCUGGCGGCGUGCCUAACACAUGCAAGUCGAACGAGAACGGAUUUAGUUUACUAAAUUGUCAGCUAAGUGGCGCACGGGUGAGUAAUAUAUAGUUAACCUGCCCCAAAGAAGAGAAUAAUUGUUGGAAACGACUUGUAACUCUCUAUAUGCCUUUAUUACAUAAGUAAGCAAGGGAAACAUUUAUGGCUUUGGGAUGGGACUGUACGGUAUCAGCUUGUUGGUGAGGUAAUGGCUCACCAAGGCUAUGACAUCUAACUGGUUUGAGUGGAUGAUCAGUCACACUGGAACUGAGACACGGUCCAGACUCCUACGGGAGGCAGCAGUGGGGAAUAUUGCACAAUGGAGGAAACUCUGAUGCAGCAACGCCGCGUGGAGGAUGACACAUUUCGGUGCGUAAACUCCUUUUAUAUAAGAAGAUAAUGACGGUGUUAUAUGAAUAAGCACCGGCUAACUCCGUGCCAGCAGCCGCGGUAAUACGGGGGGUGCAAGCGUUACUCGGAAUCACUGGGCGUAAAGAGAAUGUAGGCUGGUUAUUAAGUUGGAAGUGAAAUCCUAUGGCUCAACCAUAGAACUGCUUCCAAAACUGAUUACCUAGAAUAUGGGAGAGGUAGAUGGAAUUUCUGGUGUAGGGGUAAAAUCCGUAGAGAUCAGAAGGAAUACCGAUUGCGAAGGCGAUCUACUGGAACAUUAUUGACGCUGAGAUUCGAAAGCGUGGGGAGCAAACAGGAUUAGAUACACUG